AUGAUACUUUCUGCAUAUUUGUGGCUAUUCUCCAUGUUGGAGUUGUUACUGGCAAGCACUGUGACCAAAUGGGGCAUUGAAGCAUCUUACCGUGGCAAUAAUCUCAGAUAAUGUUUAUGAUACAAGAGAGUCUUUUCAUUACAUAUUAAGAAACAGAAGAACCAUCUUAGCCUCAGCCCAGGAUGAAAAAGUUUAAUGGUGAAUGAAGGAAAAACAUCAUUUUGUUCAAACAGCUUUCUAGAAACACAUUUUUGUAAAGUUUGUCCCAAUGUUUUUUUUCCCAGUUCUGUAAAUAAAAAUUAAAAUGAA